rnacentral:lncRNA from 1 species
AGACAAGAGACUUGUGAAACAAGCCCGCCUCUGCCUGCGAGUAAUCCCUGCUGGGUCUAUUGUGGAGGUUUGAUGCGACUCAGCCACAUGACCAGUCAGGUGAUGAUAUUGGGAACAAAGACUAAAGAGGAUAAACUCUUAGAUCCAGGAGAUUAGUGGCUGAUCCUGCUUGGUGAGGCGCUUUAUGGUACACCCUUGGAAAAAUGGGUCCGUGGCCCAGGUCUCUGCUCUGGAGUUUAGGCGCAGCCUGCUUGAUAGGUAUGGUUGUUGGACAGACGACCACUGCCCAGAUCUCUGUGGCCUCAGCAUCGGCAUCAGCAAGUGAUGGGGGGUUGCCGGCUUCUCCCACAGCAAAUGCUGCCCAGGUCUCUACCUUACCAAAUCCAGUUGCAACACCUUCAGCCAUUUCCAAUCCUGUGGCGAAAGCUGGGGAGCCAUCAAUUACUCCAAGUAUAACAUCAGUUGAAGAUUUUUCUGCCACUGUAAAUGUGACAGUGUCCCCUGCCGCAAAUGCGACUACCGUUCAGGUUCCUACAGGAGUAAUGUCAACUGGGGGUCCAUCAACAUCUCCAUUCGUAAGCAGCACAGAGUCCACAAACUGUAGCGCAGUGAACACAACAGCAUGUAUGCCUUGCUCACCAGGAACGUUUCCCAACAAGGAGGCAUCGAGCUGUCUCUGCUGUUCAGAAGGCUCCUGUGCAGACCGUGCCGAUUGCACAUCCUGCCCAGCAGGUCACUACCAGCCUCUAGCUGGACAACAGAUCUGUUUGCCUUGCCCGCAGGGAUAUUACACUAAUUUUACACAAAGUACUGCGUGUCUCCCCUGUCAGCCUGGCUCUUAUUCCAAUGAGUCGGGGGCAUCGGCUUGCCGCAUGUGUGGAAAAGGGUAUUUUAGCUCCCAGCACAACUCAGCAUUUUGUAGUCCCUGUCCUCGUGGAUCAUUCUGCAACACAACCAACUGCAGCACCUGCACAAUUUGCCCUAGUGGAGAAGAGGCAAUCAGUGAAGCUUCUGAAGAAUGUUCACCUUGCCCACCAGGUAUGUUUAAAGCUUCUGGUGACGACCAAUGCAAAGUCUGCAAGACGGGAGAAUACCAAUUACAAGUGGGCCAGGAGAGCUGUGACAUAUGCCCAGAAAAUCACUACUGCCCUAGCCCAGAUGUGAACCCCAUUAUGUGUCCUCCUGAUGCCUUCUGUCCAGCUGGUAGCACUCGACCACAGUACUGCAUGGAAACGUUUCUUCAAAAGGCUGGAGAUUCUUGUGAACUGGCUCCUUUAACUAUUGUACUACUAGCCAUUUUAUCAGCAGGUGGAGUCCUGGCUGCUGCUUUAAUAAUUCUGAAACGAAAGCAAGAAUAUGGCUGGAAAACCUUGAAGUCUCCAUUACUGUCAAAAGAAUCAGUACCACAUACAACUUAUGGUGUAACUGGGCACACAGAACCAGUAUAUGCUGGCUGGUAGGAUUUCCUGGUGUUGGGGAAAGAAACCUCAAACAAUCGCAAGCACUUUCUCAGUUCUUUUUUUCCAUGUCUGAUGAAAUGAUAAAAAUGUGUUCAGGACAGUAUGUAUGGGCAGAGUGUAAUAUAUGAGUAAAUCCAUGGGAUUUUGUUUGCAAAGCUAAAGUGUUAAGUGUACUCCUGACAAAUACAUUAAAAAAACAAACCUUUGAUUUCUGCAGGUCUGUGAGAACUUGUACUAACUCACUACUCUAAAAUAAACUGGAUAAUAAGACUGCUCUUUUCCCCCUU